rnacentral:sRNA from 1 species
UUUGGUAGGGAAUAAACUAGCUAACUUGAUUUGAAGAGAGAACGCCUUAUUUGCCAGUGUUUAUCUUAGCCUUAAACGUACAAAAAAAUGGAUAAUGAUAUGGUUCCCUAUCAAAAAUUCUACCAUCUUAUUUUGGGUAGGGAUUAUUU